rnacentral:rRNA from 1 species
UACGUAGGGUGCGAGCGUUGCCCGGAUUUAUUGGGCGUAAAGAGCUCGUAGGCGGCUCGUCGCGUCGACCGUGAAAACCCGCGGCUUAACUGCGGGCUUGCGGUUGAUACGGGCGGGCUAGAGUUCGGUAGGGGAGACUGGAAUUCCUGGUGUAGCGGUGAAAUGCGCAGAUAUCAGGAGGAACACCGGUGGCGAAGGCGGGUCUCUGGGCCGAUACUGACGCUGAGGAGCGAAAGCGUGGGGAGCGAACAGG